UAAGCGUUGAAGGGUCUGGGUGUGAACCUGCCUGGAGCUGCCAUCGGCACAGAUCUUGGUGGUAGUAGCAAAUACUCAAGUGAGAUCCUUGAGGACUGACGUGGAGAAGGGUUCCAUGUGAACAGCAAUUGCACAUGGGUGAGUCGUUCCUAAGCCAAAGGCGAAAGCCAUACUCAUAAACUUGUGGCCACAUGAAAAUGAAAAAGAUUACCGUGUGGAGCCUAUAAAAAACUGUCUAGUACGAAAGGAUCGGCAGUGUGUGCGAAUCCGUUUCAGGUUAGCAGCAGCACCCAGGGAGGGUUAUACUCCCGCACGGUCGUAUGCGCCUGCAUUCUGUUGCAUCGUACCAAAAUGAAAAAGACUGUCUAGUGGCAGUGUGUGCGAAUCCGUUUCAGGUUAGCAGCAGCACCCAGGGAGGGUUAUACUCCCGCACGGUCGUAUGCGCCUGCAUUCUGUUGCAUCGCACCAAACGAAAAAGAGAUUGAAAUGUCAGAGACUCGACUAGUGCGAAUCCGUUUCAGGUUAGCAGCAGCACCCAGGGAGGGUUAUACUCCUGCACGGUCGUAUGCGCCUGCAUUCUGUUGCAUCGUACUGUACAAACAGUCGUGUCGAGGAAGCUUUUCAAGUUGGGCCGCACAAUAAUAAAAAUGUCUUGAGUGAGCCAGCAAGGAGUUUGGCGAAAGGGAAUCCGGUACUCAUUCCGGAACCUGGACAUGGGGAGUAGUGUUGCUUCAAGCAUCACAUAGCCGUGAGGCGUUUACCAUCCUGGAGAAUCCAACCAGAGAGCUGGGGAGAGUUGUCUUUUCUGCUUAAGGGAAGGAGCAUGCUGAGAACUGGGUCGGUCAGAGAUAGUAUGUGUUUCCCGAAUAGCGCCGCGGUUCUUGCGGAGUCCAGCUCCUCUGGUCUGGAACUUGAAAAUCCAGGGGUAAGAUGAAAUACCCUCAUGCCAGUUCGUACCC
rnacentral:rRNA from 1 species